rnacentral:tRNA from 1 species
GCCGAAGUGGCGGAAUGGCAGACGCGCUAGUUUCAGGUACUAGUGAGUGAAAGCUCGUACAGGUUCGAGUCCUGCCUUCGGCACCA